rnacentral:rRNA from 1 species
AUUGAACGCUGGCGGCAGGCCUAACACAUGCAAGUCGAACGAGUGGCGGACGGGUGAGUAAUGUCUGGGAAACUGCCUGAUGGAGGGGGAUAACUACUGGAAACGGUAGCUAAUACCGCAUACCCUCGGAUGUGCCCAGAUGGGAUUAGCUAGUUGGUGGGGUAAAGGCGCACCUAGGCUACGUUCCCUAGCUGGUCUGUGAGGAUGACCAGGCAACCCGGAACGGAGACACGGUCCAGACUACUACGGGAGGCAGCAGUGGGGAAUAUUGCACAAUGGGCGCAAGCCUAAUACAGCCAUGCCGAGGGGGUGAAAAAGGCCUUCGGGUUGUAAAGCAAUUUCAGCGGGGAGGCGUUACCCGCAGAAGAAGCACCGGCUAACUCCGUGCCAGCAGCCGCGGUAAUUC